GAGUUUGAUCGUGGCUCAGAUUGAACGCUGGCGGCAGGCCUAACACAUGCAAGUCGAGCGGAUGAGAGGAGCUUGCUCCUUGAUUCAGCGGCGGACGGGUGAGUAAUGCCUAGGAAUCUGCCUGAUAGUGGGGGACAACGUUUCGAAAGGAACGCUAAUACCGCAUACGUCCUACGGGAGAAAGCAGGGGACCUUCGGGCCUUGCGCUAUCAGAUGAGCCUAGGUCGGAUUAGCUAGUAGGUGGGGUAAUGGCUCACCUAGGCGACGAUCCGUAACUGGUCUGAGAGGAUGAUCAGUCACACUGGAACUGAGACACGGUCCAGACUCCUACGGGAGGCAGCAGUGGGGAAUAUUGGACAAUGGGGGCAACCCUGAUCCAGCGACGCCGCGUGUGUGAAGAAGGCCUGCGGGUUGUAAAGCACUUUUAGUGGGGAUGAAAAGCACAUCACUAACACUGGUGUGUCUUGACCUAACCCAAAG
rnacentral:rRNA from 1 species